GCCAUCUUGGCGGGGAGGGCGGUGGCGCUGCGCGCGCAGCGGGGCGCCGCGCCCGCCAGGGGGCGCGAGGGCGCGCGCGGGGCGGGAGAGGCCCAGGUCCCCCCCCUUGUCCUCUCCGUGUCCCCCCGGCCCUCCACCUCCCGUCAGGCGGCGUCCUGCCCUCCCAGCUCGCUCGGCGGCGAAAUGCCGGAGGUAGAUCUCAGCAGAAUAAUCAAAUAAUCCGUGUUUUUCCACGUCCUUCCCGUUACCUUUAUUUGCGUUAUGAAACCUUCCCUGAAGGCUCCUCCGGAUCCCUGUGAGACAGUGGCACCACAGUGACAUUCACCAGCUACAAACUGAGGCCACCAGUGAUGGACAAACACCACCAGCUGGUUGUGUCCGCUAGGAGGCUAUAAGAGAGAAGUUGAUAAUGGGUAGAAUAAGUGAGUGGGGAGUACUAAUUAACGAUGGGGUUCCCACUGAUGCGCUCUGCAACGUUCAUAAUGCGCCAAUUAUCUUGGCCAUUGUCAGUGCCUAAUUGUUUGGGAUAAACCGUUUAGAGCCAGAGGUGUGCGUUACCGCUCAGCUUCCCCCAGGCCUCGCCGUGCGAAGCGGUGCUGUCUGAAGGCUGUGUGGGUUAUGCUGCUCAUGUAAAAAUAAUGAAGGUGAUUUUUGCAGCCAACUUUUUCUUUCCUUCCUUAGGCUAAAAAAAAUGUAAAAUUAGGUAGAGGAACUGGUACUGCAUUUUAACCCUUCACAAGUGUUCCAUAGAGCGCUGGUUCCCAUAGCAUGGACCAACUUUACCUAGAGGGACUUACAAUCGCUGAUGCACAGACCACCCCACCUUCUGUUAGCACUAACCACAACAUUUUUCUUCUGUCUUCAGUCAUCUUGUAUAAUGCAUGUGUCAUUGGCAACUACAAUGGUUGUUAAUUGUAUUGAACGUGCACUUCUAAUGGCAAGAAGUGACCAGCCAACAUCUCCUGGGGGACUUUUGCCUAUGAGCUAUUUUGUUGGAUGGUUCUUAGGAAUUGCAUAGAGAAAUGGAGAGGGACAGAAUAAAGUGAAGCAGAUCAGAAACUUACGCAGCCAGUGUUUCUUAGGCAGUUGAAAAGCUUUUUUCUUACCAGCUUCAUUGCAAGCGAAAGACAUUGGUGAGCUGGCCUUUUCUGCACAUGGUCUUCUGUUCACAGAGCAAAUGCCAGUAUUGUUGAUGGUUGGACUCAAUGAUCUGAAAGGUCCCUUCCAACCUAGACAAUUCUAUGAUUCUGUUGCCCCCUAAGCAUGUUUCCACUUUUCUGUUCAUGUAUCCCAGUGUUGUUUGGAGAAAUGCUCUGCUUACUCUCAAGGAUGGAACUCUUAAGUCAUAGGCAGACCGCAAGCAGUGUGGUGUGGUCUGCAAGAACCCAUUGAGAACUCAAAUUGACAUGUUUGACACAGUUUAUUCAAACUAUCAGCUAACUAAUGAUUAUUAUUAUUUGGUUAUGGGACAGUUCUUUCUUGCACCUUGGAUGCGAGUUCCUCUCAAGAGAAGCGAGGCCACCAUCCUUGUUCUAGGCAAAUCAGUCAGCAGUAUAGCCAGUUAUUAAUCCUUUUUUUUGAUUUCUGUCAGAGGUGUCUGGUUUUGUCAUUGGCAUGUCUUGCUUAUGGAAAGGAGAUAUCAUUGCUUCCAGAAGGAAGUGACAUAGAGUGGAAAGAAACAAAAGCUUGGUUCAUCAAAGUCUCACAUGGUUGGUGGGGGACUUAAAAGGAGAAAUAGCUGCCUUGUGAGAAUGGUUCAGUAUUAGUGGCUGUUUAAGCAGUUGUUUUUCCAUUCAGUUUUUGACAAAAAUAGCUGUAAAGGAGCAUGGGAACCUCAGAGAAUGCAGUCUAUUUUUUUGAUCCACCUUGGCUUUUGCUUGUCAGCUUUAGAUUCUCUACUAUGGCACAUUUAGUCAGUGCAAAAUGUAGAAUGCAAGAGAUUGGUUUCUUGGGCCAAAAAAUCCUUUGAGUUCAUUCCUGAAAGGUGAUGAUGAUUGUGUCAGUGAUAUGGCAUCACCUGCUCAAAGCAAGUGGUUUGAAUCAAUAGCUCUUCACUGCUGAUGGCAUUCUGUCUGACUUACUAGUAAGUUCAUUCACUGAAUUCUUCUGUUUGGGAGCUUACGCUAAGAUUUUUUGUGUACCUUACGCUUUUCCUCAUCGAUCAGGCACACACCUUACAUUUUUGUCUCCAGUAUAGGGAAAGAUGGUUGGCUUGUCCAGAUGGAUCCAGUGAGCUUUUAAAGCUCCUGUGAGAUCCCUUUUCUUGCCAACCUUUUCUAUACAAAAACCACUAACCUAGUUUCAAUACGCUAUCUUUGCAUUGCCCCUGAAAACAUUUUUCCACAACCUGCAGGCUGUGAAUAAUUCCCUAGUAUGCAGAUUAUUGACCUUAUCUGGGAACAUCAAAGCAUUGCAGUCAGCGUGCUGAUGCUGUGCCUUUCUAUCCGGUACCUACAACGUAAGGUUCCUUUCAGCAGCACAUCAAGUGGUAUCUGGGAAUCUCAUAAAUAUAAUGUAGUAUUUGAACUGAUUCCAGCUUCUGUGCCUAGCAAUAAUUUGGUCUUUUGUCUAUGCCAACAAAAGGCAAGGGGAAUCUUGCUUUUUUUCAGUCCAGCAUUCAGUAAAGUAUUCGCACAGGGGGAUUUGGCUUUUCUCCUUUGGGUGUGCUGCUGCUUUUCACUUACAAGUACUCGAUGCAUACAUUUGAAUACUGCAAUGAGGAAAAACCUGGAUCCUCAGUGCUAGGAAGACAAAAUGCUAUUUCCAGUGUCGUACUGUUGCACCUGGCUAGGCACAGCAUGGCACAGCACUUAAAAUGGACACUUGUACAGUAGGUAAGUUACAGUGACAAUUUAAAUAGAGUCCAGCACGCCUCACACUUGCCACGGAAGAAGCAUCUUGCAGUGAAAAGAUUGUACUAGAAGAAUUUUAGUGCCAGUUAUUUAACUUUUUGUGAUGUCUUCCUUAGGGCACUGACUUCAACAAAGUAAAUUAAUAUCUUUUUAAGUGGCUUCAGAGCCUCUCAAGUAUAAUUAUCAAAUUGUGAUUUUUAACUGAGCUAUGAUUUUAACCAGUGACACAAAAGCAAAAAAAAUUUAAUUGUCAUAACCAGACUCUUGUAUAUGCUGUUCUCAUUGUUUCCAUGGGUCACUGUUGUUUACCUUUUUAGAUACGAUUGUGCUUCUUGUAUAUCUGAGAGCACAAUUGAAAAUGAUAGUUAUUCAGAGAGGCACAGCUGGUUUAGUUACAUGUGGAAAUUCUCUACUUCCAUUUCUUUGGCUUUGGCUAAUCCACGGAAGAGGAUGUGUAGUUAGAUACAAAAUCUCUGCUUAUGUUUUGUUGUGUGGUGUUUUUUGUUUUGGUUUGGUUUGGUUUGUUUUUUUUUAAAUAUGUAUGUUGAUCCUCCAGCAUACUCACCAGUUUAUAAAACCACAGGCUAGUGGUUCUCAACCCACUGAACUUUCUUGCAGAACUUGCCCCCAUAAAUUAUGUGUUUAUAAAUCUUGCUUUAUUACAGUUCCACAGACCAGCUGCUAGCUGCUUAUCUUUGUCUCAUGGACUUACAGUAUGGGAACGUCUUCCCUGAGGUCCUAGGUGUGAAACCUGGUUUCAUCACUGGGGAAAAGAGAGGAAGAGGUUAUUUUAUUUGGUUCGCUGUGGCUAAGGUUUGCUAACUUCUCAGGAACAUACCAACCUCAGUUUUCCCUUUUCUCACCACUGAGCUGUUGGUUUACAGUGAUUAGUUUUACUCGUGAUCCUUUUAUGUUGUUCUGUGUUAACAUGGGAUCAAAGACUGAAAUAGAAUAUAGAGAGAUCCUUUCAAAAAAGUCCCUGUCACAACUAGAAAUUGCACAAUAUCUUUGACUUGUAGCUCCAGCUGCUUUUUGUUAUUUUCCUGAAAAAAUAAUAGCUCUUAUAAAAUACAAAAUAACAACAGUCUGUGGUUGUUUAACUGGUACAGCUUGAACUGCAGUGUUUGCGAGGAUCAGGUCUCACUGCCCUGCAUGCAGGGUGCCAUUCCUGGUUUGUGUUCCAGUUCAUCAUUUGUACUCUGGUUGUGCUGUCUCCUGACUGACUUUGGAGCUGCUGGUUUGCUGCCUCCUUGAGCUUAGUCUUGCUGACUUGAAUUGUUAGAAAACAAAGCUGAAUCAAACCUCCCUUCCUUACCUCCUCCUUCAGUUAGCGUAGUAAAACCUAGUAAGAGGAAUACAUGGUUUUUUCCCAUGGUCUGCUGUGCUCUGGUGCUUGUGCUGAGCACUCUGCUAAAUCUUCAGUAAGAUAAAGUAAAAUACAUUGCACAAGGGGAAAUAAAUCUGUUUUUAUAAUGUGGGGUUUCAGACCAGUCCUGCUUUCUGUGGCUCGUGAGAGGCUGCUGUACCAAGAGAAUCAUUUCCCUUUGUCAUGUGCUGACUCCUCUUGAACUCCUCUGUCGCUGUGGUUCUGCAGGCUGCUGCAGAGUGACUCUUCUUGAAUCAUAUUUGCAUAUCAUUUCUUUUCACCACAGGCUGCUUGCUGGAAAAUCAGCUCUCUUGUGUCUUGUAUUGGUUGUUUGCUUUUACCCUCAAAGUAAGAUGGUUUAGAUUUGUUCCGUGUCUGCUUCGACCUUGUUCUGUUGGUAGUUGCUGUACUGGGUCUGUACAACAUCUCCCUCUUUCUGGCUGUGUCCCAAACUGUGCUUAUAUUUACAGUAGUUAUCUAGCAUUUAGCUGUAAGAGUGGCUUUUCCCCUCGUCCUUUCCGAGACCAACAUUAGCAAAUAAGUUUGUUACCUUAUCUUUGGAAAGUCCAGGCUCAAAUUUUAAUCUGUUGUAGUUUACCUGAGUGUGAAUCUCACCUCAGACAGAUCACCAACCUGUUUUUCGCAAGUGCUUUAUGAUAGAGGAGGGGUUUUCUUGUCUACCAUUGACCCAAAAUAAUUCGACAAAACAAACGUCAAAUUGAUCUGCUUCGGCUCCUUCAUUAGAUAUUCGUUCUGUAUUUUUAUUUAACAUUAGGAAAUAGAAAUCUGAAUCCAUUCACAGGGAUCCUGCUUGAGUGUCUGUGCUUGCUUUCUAUUGGAUAUAAAGUACAUACUGUAAAGAUAACAGAGUGUGUCUGUUGUGUAUACUGUGUGUAUACAGUUGUGCCACUGCUGGGGGAGGUGUCCGUGGAUAUGUGUGUGUGUAUAUAUAUAUAUAUAUUUGGUGGAUGUAGUGCUGAGAUUGGUAAUACAGGACAUACUGUUGGUUUGUUUACAGUAGCAAGCUACCACUAUUUGAUACAUCUGUUUGAUCUCCUAUUACAGAACACUUAGAGCACUAUAAAAGCAUUUGAUCUGCAUAUACUCAUUCUGGUAAUAAAAAUACCAUAAAACCUUACUAUGAGUCAUUUUAUACGUAUAUAGCUUUGUCUAUACUCAGCUUUUAAAAACACAACUUCUUAAGAAAAGACAAAUGAGUCAUAUGAUCAUUAGUAAAACAUCUAAGUACCUAUUAGUGUUUAUAAAGCAUGGUCCAUGGGUUAAAUGAUUUUAUAGCAGGCAUUUAUGCUUGAUUUGAGAUUCUGGAUUAAAUCUCAAAAUGCCCAGAAAAUUCCCUGCAGCAUUAGCCCAACUCCAGGUUCUCCCUGUUCUAGCUGAAAGAUCUUUACUCCUCCCUAUGACAUUGAAGGAGGAAUAUCCUCUAGCUCAGUGUUUGGGACAAGUAUCUCUUUUGAAGGGAUCCUCAUUCCUAGGUAUUUUUUAAGCCUAUUAAAAUUGUAGGCAGGACAGCUUUACUCCAGAAAUGAACCAAGACCUCCAUUGUAGUUGAGAAAGCUUGUAUAAAAGUGCCUCUCUUUUUUUCUCGUCAGUGGGUUGCUGCUCUGUUUUACAAAUUAGGAUGCCUAUUUGGGUGUUUUACUGGAGGUUUUCCUGGUUUUGCUUUUAUCUUUCCCUUCAGAGAGCUCUUCCUAGUUCUUGUCUUAUCCAUGGUUUUUGGCUCAUACGUUCCAUUAGCUAUAGUGCUCUCCUUGGAGGCGUGUGUAACUGCCACCUAACAUAGCACUGGAAGUUGUUGUAUAGGAAAUUGGGUAAUUCUUGAUAACACAACACUUACUUAGCAGGAUUUCAGAUAAGGUUUGGGCUCUCGUACAGAUAUCAGAAACAAGCUUGGUUGUAUUAGGUAGCAAAAUCCUAAUAAAAUCAAAGGCAGUUUAAAGGCAGUUUUCAUUUUAAAUCCAUCAUUACCCCUCAUGUCUACAGUAUUUCAUAAAAGAAAGUAGAUGAUCUUGUGGGAGUAGUAGUGUGGAAAUUUGGGGAGAAGAGGGAAGGAUCUGGUUACAGUUUUGAUGUGGGAGUCCUGUCAUCUACUAUCAGUUUUUUUAUUGUGUCAUGGAUUACUUGAGAAAGUAAAUUUGGGUUUUUUUCCAAUCUGUACUUUAUAACAUAGUGCAAAAGGGCCCUUGUGAUAACUUUUCUGAAUAGGUGGUUUUUGAAAUAUUCAUGUGAAAAAAACAGCGAAGUGAAAAAAAAAUGUAGUGUUUAUCUUCACGAUUCAUCCUCAUGUGAGAUACUUUUUUUUCAUGCAGAUUAGAAGUGAUGCAUCAGAGAUCCUGGACGAGACCAUUCUGCUCCUUAAAGACAAGGCGACAGAAAUGAACCACAUCUGUGGCAAAGUUGAUAAAUUAGAGGCAUUUGUUAAAAUGGUUGCCACCGUAUUUCCCUCCUAGAAGAGCAAGUGCUUGAAGCAGAGAAGAGCUGCGGUACCGUUCUUAAUACCGUUUGCAAAUUAUUUCAGUGUGUAACUGUCUCUUCAUUUAAAAAUAGAUGUCCUCUAUCAGCAGCACGCUCCAAUGACCUGCCAAAACCCUACCAGCUGAAGACUUUUUUCCUAUGAACUAUGUAGGUACUAAGUAUCAACGUAAUUAAUUUUUGAUGACCAAAAGUUUUUUAGGAAAGACUGAAUUUAUUCUUACAGUUUAUAUUGAUGAGAUUAGGAAGAAGCAACUGUUACAUUUCUGAUCUUUGGCUAGCAUUUCGAAGGGAAGCUAAACGUUUCUGAUCAUGUUGUAGCUAUAUGGAGGCUGGAACAUUUAUUCUAAGAUUUGAUCACAGUAGUUUGCACUUACUUGAUGUGCUUCCUAAAUCAAUGAAGAAAAUGUACAAAACCCCGUUUUGUUUACUUUCACAUUUUUAUACUUAAAAUGAUCAGAAUGUUGAAGAGUGCUCUAGUAUAGCAUGUUAGAACUGUCAAGUAAUGUGCUAAUACUGCCAGCUUCACAAGUGCACAAAUGUUCAGAUUUUACGAGAGAACAUGAAGUCAGUGUCAAAAUUUUAAAUUCAAUAAACUGCACACGGCUGAAGCUUCCAGCACUCUAUUGCAAACUAGGAAUAGGGAUUUAAAAGCUGUUGUGUAAUAUAACUUGAAUGGUACAAAUAAACUUUCUGUUGUGGA